AAUGGCAAACACCGAGAAAAAUCCUUCUCCAUCUCUGAAAGCUGGUCCAAAGUUCUCUGCGAAUAUUGAUGCUGAAAAUACAGAUGAAAAUGGAACAUGCCACCAGGAUUUGAUUCCAAAAUUACUUAAUGAACGACAGAGAUGCCGAGAAGACAUACAACAGUUAUGGUGCCUAUUAUUCUGAUGUCAUUGGACUCAUCUACCAUGAUUGUAUCACUCU